rnacentral:piRNA from 1 species
AAGACGUGGAAAAGGCAGAGG